CCUUGAUGAUUUCUAGAUGACGAGUCUGAAUACACUGGAACGGGGUUUCCUUGUUCUAGUGUAUGUGACGAGUCCCAUUUUAUUUACCAUUCAUGCAUAAUCUGAUC
rnacentral:snoRNA from 1 species